GUGCUUGCUUUGGCGGCACAUAUACUAAAACUGGAACAAUGCAGGAAAGAUUAGCAUGGCCCCUGUGCAAAGAUGACACUGAGAUUUAUGAGGCAUUCCAUUAUUUU
rnacentral:snRNA from 1 species